rnacentral:rRNA from 1 species
AUUGAACGCUGGCGGCAUGCUUUACACAUGCAAGUCGAACGGUAACAGGCCGCAAGGUGCUGACGAGUGGCGAACGGGUGAGUAAUGCAUCGGAACGUGCCCAGUCGUGGGGGAUAACUACUCGAAAGAGUAGCUAAUACCGCAUACGAUCUAUGGAUGAGAGCGGGGGACCGUAAGGCUUCGCGCGAUUGGAGCGGCCGAUGUCAGAUUAGGUAGUUGGUGGGGUAAAGGCUCACCAAGCCAACGAUCUGUAGCUGGUCUGAGAGGACGACCAGCCACACUGGGACUGAGACACGGCCCAGACUCCUACGGGAGGCAGCAGUGGGGAAUUUUGGACAAUGGGCGCAAGCCUGAUCCAGCAAUGCCGCGUGCAGGAAGAAGGCCUUCGGGUUGUAAACUGCUUUUGUACGGAACGAAAAGGCUCUGGUUAAUACCCGGGGCUAAUGACGGUACCGUAAGAAUAAGCACCGGCUAACUACGUG